rnacentral:lncRNA from 1 species
CCUUGUCGGUUUAUUGUUCGCCCACAGCUGUUUGAAGCCGUCCAGGUUUGAUCGAGUUAUUUCGCCUUGUGACCAUAGUCCUCGCUGUUGUAUUUUUGUUUCACGUUGACGUAGAUUUUGUUUGUGCUGGCCACGCCAGGUUUCCGUACUUUGUACGCGCUUUGAGUUUACGGUUUUUUUUCUGUUCGCACGGUGAGCGUUUUGCCCGUGCCAUUUCGGACUAAAAAGGACACUGACGUGAGGACGGUCCUCCGUCGUUCGGAUCGCGCGCUACUAGCCGUCGGACCCGGUAUUGUUACGUGAAGCGCUGUGCGCGCACCAUUGUGCUCCUCCACAGACACCGUGGGAAGGAACCUCCGGAAUAACGCUGGAACGAGGACCCGGUCUCCACAGCCACGCCAUCGCUGUUCCUCAACCUGCCUCAUGCUCGGAGCUUCACCUCGCGUUUGCCCUGUUUUACCAGGGACGCUACUAUCUAGGACGAGUUUACGCCCACGCACCCUUGUUUCCUUUUUUUUCUGUAAAUAAAACCCUUUUGUGUGCAUACUAGGUCUCUGACUCGGUUCUGUGGAACACUCCCUGGGGGUCCAGCUGCGCAUUUAAUGGUGCACAGGGUAACAUUUCUCUGACACCAGCAUGUAAAUCAGUUGGCAGUUGUGUUUGCUAGAUUGGCUGAUGCUAGUUUGACGUUGAAUCUAGCAAAAAUGCGAAUUUGGACUAACCACUCCAAAUUAUUUAGGAAAAUUGGUUGGUCAGGGUAAAGUCUGCCCUGUUACUGCUAAGGUGGAAGCAAUCUUUGAAUUUCGUGCUCCUACAUCUUGCCGUGAGUUAAAGCAAUUUCUUGGGUUGGCAGGGUACUACAGGAGUUUUUGUAAGAACUUUGCCACAGUGGCUGUCCCUUUAACCACCCUGCUUAGCCCAAAAGUUUCUUUCGUAUGGUCAGAACCGUGACGACUUGCGUUCUUACAUCUUAAGGCCUUGUUGAGUAAUGCUCCACUGCUUGCUGCUCCUGAUUUUAACAAGCCCUUAAAACUUGCUGUGGAUGCAAGUGAUGUGAGUGCUGGUGUUGUUCCUCUAAGCUGGUCCAUUAGGCAUUGAACAGCCUGUGUGCAACUUCUAUAAGUUUACUUUACAUCAGAAAUGGUAUUCCAUCAUAAAGAAGGAGGCACUAGCGCUUAAGCUGGCCUUAGAGCAUUUCCGGGCCAGGUCAUUGUGGUUUAUACAGACCACAAUCCACUAGUUUUCCUGGGCAGGACGGAGAACUCAAAUUACCGGCUAAUGAGAUGGUGCCUCUUCCUGCAGGAGUUCAACGUGGACAUCCAGCAUAUUCGUGGGAAGGACAAUGAGUUAGCG